rnacentral:rRNA from 1 species
AGGUGGAAGCACGGUAACGUGUGGAGCUGACUGUUACUAAUCGGUCGAGGGCUUGACCAAA